rnacentral:rRNA from 1 species
UACGUAGGGUGCAAGCGUUGUCCGGAAUUAUUGGGCGUAAAGAGCUCGUAGGCGGUUUGUCGCGUCUGCUGUGAAAUCUGGGGGCUCAACCCCCAGCCUGCAGUGGGUACGGCGAGACUAGAGUGCGGUAGGGGAGAUUGGAAUUCCUGGUGUAGCGGUGGAAUGCGCAGAUAUCAGGAGGAACACCGAUGGCGAAGGCAGAUCUCUGGGCCGUAACUGACGCUGAGGAGCGAAAGCGUGGGGAGCGAACAGG